rnacentral:lncRNA from 1 species
AGAAUUUGCACAUUGAAAAUGAGAAUUUUUCUUUAUUUUUUUUUUCAUUACAGAUCUUGUGGUUCAACCUGUCUGCAAAAAUUAUGUUCUCAAGCAACAGGGAGAGAAAACGAAAUGCACAUGUCACUUUGCCAGAUGACAUGUGCCUUAGAAUAUUGACAUCACAAUGGUUCUUCAGCCUGACAACUACAGAAUCCUCAGACUUCAGUAGUUUUCUAGCCACUGUAGUCACCAGUUUGGUGUCUAGAGGCAGGAAGGCAAACGAAAAUUUCACAUUGUUUGAUAAGUUCUUCAUCCCAGGCUCUACUAAAAAGCCAAUGAAAUGCAACAGUAUUAAUACUGUAUUAACUCUGAACUUCCAGUAG